rnacentral:rRNA from 1 species
CCUACGGGCGGCAGCAGUGGGGAAUAUUGCACAAUGGGCGCAAGCCUGAUGCAGCGACGCCGCGUGCGGGAUGGAGGCCUUCGGGUUGUAAACCGCUUUUGUUCAAGGGCAAGGCACGGUCUUUGGCCGCGUUGAGUGGAUUGUUCGAAUAAGCACCGGCUAACUACGUGCCAGCAGCCGCGGUAAUACGUAGGGUGCAAGCGUUAUCCGGAUUUAUUGGGCGUAAAGGGCGCGUAGGCGGUCCGUCUGGUGCGGUGGGAAAGUGCAUGGCUUAACGGUGGAACCGCGCCGGGUAUGGGCGGGCUUGAGUGCGGUAGGGGAAGCUGGAAUUCCCGGUGUAGCGGUGGAAUGUGUAGAUAUCGGGAAGAACACCGAUGGCGAAGGCAGGUCUCUGGGCCGUUACUGACGCUGAGGAGCGAAAGCGUGGGGAGCGAACAGGAUUAGAUACCCUUGUAGUC